rnacentral:lncRNA from 1 species
UGUGAUUUCUUCUCCUAAGCAUCUUUCAUAUCUUUUUCUUUCAGGUUACAUUAAUAUUCUGAAGAUGAAUAUUAACUUCAAUGCUAAACAUCAAAAGGUUGCUCCCACUCACUUUAAAGAGACGUUUACAGAGGAUUCCCAAAGGAAUAAAAGUUCAACUUUGUGUGAGGCCAAAGGUAUAGUUAAGCAACCCCAUUAUCUCAAAAGGUUGGAGGUUCAUAGGUACUAAGGUCCCAAUCUCCAAUUCUCAAAAUGGACCCCGCGAAGGGAAAGAAAAAGGCACCCGAGGAAUCUGAUCAUGUUCCUAAUUCCAUGGCUUUGUUUGACGUCUGCCAUGACGAGGAGCUAGAUCCCAACAUUUUGUCCUCACUUACUGCCUUUGUUUCUAAAGCAACUAGAUCUACAUUUUUAUAAUUUAACUCCGAACGAGACUCUCCCAAGCAAAGAUGAAGCCUAAUUGAUGCUCACCUCUUACUAGCUAGCCAAUGUCCUUCAUCAUGAUUAGCAAGCGAAAUAUGAGGUUUACUUGCUGUGAACCAAUAAGAUAGAGAAAAGGGCAGACUUCCUAGAGAAGAAGCAUGUGGCCUUUCAACGAAAAUUGAGAGGAGUUGAAAAUGACAUGAAAAAAAUAUAAGGAGCUGAGCAAAGAUUCCGAGGCACUGGCUGCCACGGAAGCCCUCUUAGUGGCUGAUCUUACCAGGCUCACUAAGGAUUUGGAAUGGAUCAAGAAAAUCUUUCUACUUAUGUUGUUAGAUUCGGUGGUGAGCUUCUUCGUCUCAGAAAGAGCUUCAGUUUGUUAGGAAUAAGCAGUUUGCUUUUUCUAAAGACUUGGAAAUGAAGAGCAAGAAGGGCUUGCUUCUUAACCAGCUGGAGAAUGCUGAUAAAAAGCUGUCUCUUGCGGAGUCUGAUCUCUUGCUAAUGAGUUGAGGCUUGUAGAUGAGUCCAUGGAGGAUGGAGGCUAUAAGGUUCUUGAUAUUAUUAGGGAUUUUCAUCUUUGAGUGGGACCUGAGUUUUUUAGAGGAUCAUGAAGAGGGUGCCAAAUAUACCUCUGUGGGCGAAGAUGCUUUGACGGCCGUCCAAACUUCCAGUUAUCCGUCUGCUUCUAUUGAACGUGCCUCUAUUCCUCCUAGCGAAGGUACUGCUAUGCCAAUAUGAUCUCGCCUUUUGAUACUAUUAAAGUUCAUACUCCCUCUAAAGCGAGUGUGCCUUUUGAUGGUAACACUUCGCUUGGCCAAGAUGAUCUCGCCUUUGGGAAUUUCCAACCUUUUAUGAAUUUAAAGGGAUGGCUAAUUUUUUAUGCUCUUGUUUCUCACUUUUAUUGUAUUGACGAUAUUCCAUUCUAAUUUAUAGGAAAAUACCAUUUUA